rnacentral:rRNA from 1 species
UACGUAGGGUGCGAGCGUUAAUCGGAAUUACUGGGCGUAAAGCGUGCGCAGGCGGCGCGUUAAGACAGGUGUGAAAGCCCCGAGCUUAACUUGGGAAUUGCGCUUGUGACUGGCGUGCUGGAGUGUGGCAGAGGGAGGUGGAAUUCCACGUGUAGCAGGGAAAUGCGUAGAGAUGUGGAGGAACACCGAUGGCGAAGGCAGCCUCCUGGGCCAGCACUGACGCUCAUGCACGAAAGCGUGGGGAGCAAGCAGG